rnacentral:rRNA from 2 species
AGUAACCUGCCCCUGACUCUGGGAUAAGCCCGGGAAACUGGGUCUAAUACCGGAUAUGACAUCGUUUCGCAUGGGAUGGUGUGGAAAGUUUUUCGGUUGGGGAUGGACUCGCGGCCUAUCAGCUUGUUGGUGGGGUAAUGGCCUACCAAGGCGACGACGGGUAGCCGGCCUGAGAGGGCGACCGGCCACACUGGGACUGAGACACGGCCCAGACUCCUACGGGAGGCAGCAGUGGGGAAUAUUGCGCAAUGGGCGAAAGCCUGACGCAGCGACGCCGCGUGGGGGAUGACGGCCUUCGGGUUGUAAACCUCUUUCAGCAGGGACGAAGUUGACGUGUACCUGCAGAAGAAGCGCCGGCUAACUACGUGCCAGCAGCCGCGGUAAUACGUAGGGCGCAAGCGUUGUCCGGAAUUAUUGGGCGUAAAGAGCUCGUAGGUGGCUUGUCACGUCGGGUGUGAAAGCUUGGGGCUUAACUCCAGGUCUGCAUUCGAUACGGGCUGGCUAGAGGUAGGUAGGGGAGAACGGAAUUCCUGGUGUAGCGGUGAAAUGCGCAGAUAUCAGGAGGAACACCGGUGGCGAAGGCGGUUCUCUGGGCCUUACCUGACGCUGAGGAGCGAAAGCGUGGGGAGCGAACAGGAUUAGAUACCCUGGUAGUCCACGCUGUAAACGUU